AACACUAUUCUAGCAUUUUAAACUGAUUUCGUAGUGUAGUAAACACCAACCAUCACAACACACAAACAACCAUUAGUCUUAAAAUGCACAUCAAGUAGAAGAAUAAACGACUUACAAAGACCCGUUCUUAAAGUGGCGCUGGCGAAUUAAUAUAGAAAACAGCGGAGGACCGUCCGAGACAUUUUUAACCGAUCGUAUUAUACAAGAUUGCGCGAAAAAUAUUAUAUUCGUCGAAUAAAUAAUAUUUUCGAUAUUAAUUCCAACGGAGGCGUGUACCAAUUAAUACGUUUUUAAUUAUUAUCGCACGUGUGUGUGUGUGCUUUAAUUCACUGCAGUGCAGUAGCAAUAACGGCGACAACAGCCGCGGACCGACGCGAAACCGGUACGACACGAUGGCGGCGUCGUCGUCGCGGUCGGUUUAUUUA